UUUACUUAUUACAAUUUGAUACAUUCGCUUUCUUUUCAUUUCCUUUACCCCUAAGCUUUGUAGACGGGUACUGCUAGCUCUGGUCUCCGGGGUAGGGCGCUAUCUAUGGAGCUACGCCCUUUCCUCGCGCCGCCGCGCCGCUCACGUACGAACCUGUAACACCCCAAAACAACGUGGGGUGAGAACCAACUCCAUGGUUCCCAGUGGGUACGGCCACCCAAGGGAAAAGCUCGACCGACAGGUUCAAAGGAGGCAACUGCAGGUUAGUAUAAUAAACAGAUAGAUAGAUAUUUUGACUAUGCAAUUAAUAGAACCAUACCUUGCCUCGCAAUUGUAACAAUGCUAUGCAAUAUGCAAUACCUGUAAAUCAUGCAAGUAGAUUACUUGAUCUACUUUAUAUCAUUAACCAUACUUUACUUGUAGCCGUUCUUUUCUUUACUAGCUAUUCACGUUCGUUAGCUAUUCUUUAUUCUUUACUCUUUGUCUUAUUGUGCUCACUGGCGAUUCUUUCCUAAGGUUAUUUUACCUUAGCCAUCUAUGCCACUCGACUCGGUCUCGAGUCAAUCAACUGCGGAUAGUCCGCACUCUGUCCGGCUCAAGGUGAAGGACCUCUCACUUACACCUCAGCCUUCAGUCUACAAACAUCUCGCCAACAGGUCGCCCAGAGCUGCGUACACCCGUGGUCAGGGAUCUUUCCGGUGGGAAGGGGAUUAUACCACAAACUCAACCCGCGGCCCAAGACCCCCGAUAGGGAAGGGGACAUGCCACCUCAACCCUAGCAAAGCACGAUUCUGCCGACGGGAGGGGGAACAUGCCACACUCGACCUGCGGCCUCGAAUCAGCCUCAAGCUCAUCCUGGGAGUUCGUCCAGUGGGAGGGGACCCUGUCACACUCAACCCACUGCUCUAGAACUGUCGAGUUCACAAUCCUAAGAUUCUGGAAUCUAUUUCCCAAGCCUCUAGGGUAAUCUCAAACCCUAUGAUAUCGACCUAUCUAGGUCCAAUGCACUUUCUGUCCUAGGUCUAGCUGACUCUAGGUUUAAUGCCUUUUUUCACAUAACCUAUGUUCUUUAAACUAGGUUAAGCCUCUCUACCUAGAUCUUAUUAACUCUAGGUUCAACAACACUAAGUUCAUUGUCAACCUAGGUUUACCAACACUAGGUUCGAUAUCGAUUUACCUAGACCUUGAAUCUAGGUUCAUUCUGUUCAACCUAUGUUCACGACACUAGGUUAAUGCCACUCGAUCUAGCCUAGGUUCACGACACUAGGUUUGACAUCAUUCAUAUUCAUCCUAGGUUCUUGACCCUAGGUUCAUAUUCGACCUAUGUUAAUUACACUAGGUUCGGCACCACUCGAUCUAGUUGGCCCUACUUGUCCACAUCGAGUUUCUAUAAUCAUAUAUACUCUAGCAUGCAUUCUAUGAUGCCGACAUGCAUCUACAUUUAACAUAGCCUACAUUAUCAUCGUGCAUGUUAUACAUGUAUAGCUUUUCUCAUCAUGUCAAUAAGCAUUAUCCUCUCGCAUGCAUUUUCAUAAGGUCAAUAUGCUCUUGUCAUCUAACUUGUAUUCACAUGAUGCACUUAUGCAUUUUAUCCAACCGCACUUACAUGCUCUAUUAUGAGUUGACAUGAACUAGCACUUGCAUAUAAUUCCAAUGCACAAAUAUAUCGCUUGUAUCUAGUUACUAGCAUGUACUUCCCAAUGCAUUAUUAUGCAAUUAUCACUAAACAUUACCCAACAUGAUCUCAUAACUCAUAAGGUUAACAAUAGGUUAACAUUCAUUUAUAUGCUCAUGUUCUCUAAUACAUGUCAACAUGAAUCUCAUAAUGCUAAAUGCCCCAAGCAUGUAUUUCACUAAGCAUACAUACUAAUAUGCAAAUUACCAACUAGCAUGCACUUAUACAAUGCAAAUAUGCCCGUAUGCACAUACAUAUAUGCAUCAACCAAAAAUCCAUAUUUCGCUUUGACAUGUGGGGCGACCAAGUCGCUUCGGUAAGCACAACCCACCUUAACACGCGUUCCGAUUGCUUGUCGACACUUGCAAUCGGCCGCCCGCGGCACCCGGCACCCGGUUUGGCCCGAUCUCACAAUUGCGGUCCAAGAGCGCGCCGCUUCGCUGUUUCAAGUGUAGAAGCUCUUCGCCACGCUAACACGAUGCCUCAAAUCCAUUUCCAUGAUUUUACGACGUCGCCUCGGCCCUCCCGGCGGACCCGAAGCCUAAACGUCCGUUUCUUUAAUAACUUCGCAACGGCUCGUCGGAUUGCCGAACCGUCUUCGCCAACGCGUUUCGUUACCUAGCAAUUAGGUUUACGGAUGGUCAAAUUAGAUCAAACCCUCAUAGUUUGAAAAUUAGCAUUUUGGACCCUAGGUUUUUCACCUAUUGCAAGAAAUCAUUAAAUUGAUCCAUGAUUUACGCAACAAUCAUCUAUUUAGCAUCAUAGGAUUCCACUAAAUCCAUUUAUAAGGUAUUUAAACCAACCAUUAAAGAUCUACCAUUAAAGGCUAGCAAAAGCUUACCUCUGAAGCUUGCCCUCAAGGUGGAGAAGAUGAUGAUGAAGACGAUGAAUCCUCGCUUGGCUUCAAUCUCCACCAAAAUCCUCUUCUUUGGGAGAGAUUUAGAGAGAGAAAGAGAGGCUUCUCUUUUCUCCUUCCAUGCGUGUGUGGGUGUGUCGUGGGUGCGGUUUGGGGCUGCUACGGCUGAGCAAGGAGAAGAAGAAAAGGGAUUUAAUCCCUUUUACGAUUUUGCCCCUCAAUUGUACACUAUUCAUUACGGGCAGCUUAAAAUCUGAUAAAUUUCGUUAGAGCCCUUCUGAAUGUCCGAUUGAGCUCAAAUUUGACAGGCAUGUUCGGUUUUACUUAAUAAGUCCAAAAAAAUUUUAAUAUUUUAGUUUCGACCCCAUUUGGUCACUGAAAACUGUACCGAACUGUAAUCUUUAUCAGAUAGCUUUAGGAUUUUAUUUCUCACUCUACGGGUGUCAGAAAAAUAUGAAACUUUAAGUCUAGCCUCAUUAAAAUAUUUCUGACAUCCCCGCCAAUUUUCAUAAUUUUCUGAGACUGUACAUUUUUUGCUAAUUUAUCUGUCCCAUUUCCAACAGAAAAUUCUAAAUCUCUUGUUUUCGCUCCGAUUUCAGCACAUGUCAUUCCCAACCUAUAUUUCACUUCUCUAAAUCCAAUAAAAACAGUAUCUCAUACUAUUUUUAUUUAUUUUUAUUUUUAUAUUUAAAAUCCGGUAUGUUACAUUCCACCGCAACCUCACCAGAACUAUUUAAACGUACACCGUAACUUCAUAAUUUUAUAAGUUCGGUAUGUUACAUUCUCCCCUCCUUAAAAAGAGUUUCGUCCUCGAAACUAACUCACUUCAACCCAAUCGAUACUCAAACUCGGUUUAUCGAGCAAUCGGGGAUUUCAAUGCACUUUCCUACCUCGGAGUGGCCUUUUACUUAUUGGAACUGUCCAAAAGUGCAUUACCACCAUGCAAGGAAUUGCUCUUUGCAUUAUACACCCAAUCGGAAAAUUUCACUCCGAUUCGAUCACCAGCAUUGCUUAGAAGCAAUUUCGUUGAUGCAUCGACCAAUCGCGAGUGCUUCAAUCCUCGACUAGAUCCUUGCUCCAUCACGAGAUAGCCCACUCUAGCACAUCUCGAAUCUCAAUCCAUAAAAGAGCAAUUUCCUCAAGCUCCAAUCCUCACGUGGCUAUUCAUUACUCAAGUGUCUCCUAGAGACCACUUUACUUUCUCUUUAUCCUUUGAUACUACAAGCCACGACUAACAUCCAUCCGCUCUUGCAACAAAUUCAUACAAACUCCUGUUCGUGAAUUCAAGCUUAAACUCGUUGAUAAGGCUACCCGCCUACCGUUUACCUUGAUCUCAUUGGUAAACCACACAGGUCACCAGUCCUACGUAGGCCUACAGCCCAACCUGUCGCAACUACGCAUAGCGUCUCUCGUUCGCUUCGUAGACCCAAUCAUCAUCGGGCGACAUUCUCAUUGGAGAAUUCGCACACACUCCAACCAGGAGCAACCAAAACCCCAAACCACGUCAAGUCCUCGGGUUAGGUCGCUACACACUCUAAGUGUCCUCGAUCUCACGAUCUAACACGUGGCAUUCCACGCUCCCGGGUCUAAGCUCGGACUACCGUCCUGACCAAAACUCUCUGCCCUACCCAUAGGUACCGGGCCGCUGCCUCUCGCAGCUGACUGCGCCUGCGCAAUGGGCCCAGGCUCCACAGUCCA
rnacentral:lncRNA from 1 species